rnacentral:rRNA from 1 species
AUGUCCUGNNCNAUGAACGCUGGCGGCAUGCUUUACACAUGCAAGUCGAACGGGGUGGAGGGGCAACUCUCCAUUCAGUGGCGAACGGGUGAGUAAUGCAUCGGAACGUGUCCCGUAGUGGGGGAUAACGCCGCGAAAGCGGCGCUAAUACCGCAUACGCUCUGAGGAGGAAAGCAGGGGACCCGCAAGGGCCUUGUGCUAGGGGAGCGGCCGAUGUCCGAUUAGCUAGUUGGUGGGGUAACGGCCUACCAAGGCUGCGAUCGGUAACUGGUCUGAGAGGAUGAUCAGCCACACUGGGAUUGAUACAC